ensembl:lncRNA
CCAAUGGAAUGACGUUAAACAACGACUUUGGUGCAGAGUUACCGACUGGAUAAUAUCAAUGCUAAAAUAAUGGCCGUAAUUCACACAUGUUACAGUAGAAGAUACUCUAGAACUGUACAAGGUUAAAAAGGUAACAUGUAGUUUGUCCCAAGGUGUCUGCCUCCUCACCCAGAGCAAGACCUCCACCUCCUCACCCAGAGCCAGACCUCCACCUCCUGUCAGAAGUCCUCCAGAACAGCUGAAAGGCGAGGCUGAGAGGCUGGGGACCGGAAGCUUGUGGUGCCAGGGUGAACCGGAGACUGAGGCUGGAGACCAGAGACCUGCGGCACCGGACCAGAGGGUAACCAUCGACAAGCUCAUCUGAAACACUAAAAUCCACGACCAGGAAUCCAUGGCUGAAGGAGCUGAUGGAGGAGCCGAGCUGAUGGAGGAGUCGUGCUGAAGGCCCUGCCUUGUGGAGGAGCUGGUGGAGGCCCUGCCUGGUGAAGGACGUCUGUCGUGGGACCAGGACUCUGUCUGUGGAGAGCCGCUGGAGGAGCUGAGACGCUGGAGGACGACUAGGAAUCGACCAACAAGGAUUCCUCAACGUGUUUCUGGAGCGGAGGCGAGCUGGUAGGGGAGCCAUGAAUCUGGAGGAUGACCAUCACUCUACCAACAAGGAUUGUAAACUUUAGGGCCAGACCCGCGCUGUUUGUUCAAGACCAGGACUCUGGCUGAGGAGAGCUGAUGGAGGAGCCAAGACUCUGGAGGACGACAUCACUCCGCCAACCAGGAUCCUCAGACGAAUUACGUUUGUAACCAGACCAGGAAUCUGGAGGACUGAUGGAAGUUCAACUCUCAAACCAAUGGUGCCGGGUUGAAGUCCUCAGAAUACAGUGAUGCGUCCUUGAGCAAGGCGCCCUAAAGCCUGCCUGCUCCUUAAUGACUUAUCUUUGGUUCAGAUAAUGUUGCAUCUUUUGAAUAUUGAACCUAAUAAAUGUCUUUGUUUGAUCCGGGCAG